CAGGCUUUGUUAUAGAAAGGGGGUGGAGGGAUGAAAAACAGAAGUCCAACUGGUAGCCAGAACAUGGGAUUCCUAUAGAUGCCUGGUUAACUGGUGACCAGAUCAGAAGAGUUGCCACAGGCAGACGUGAAGGAUAACACCUUCAAGCUAAACACACUAUGAAGUUGGAACCAUGAGCCCUCUGCCUGGGUCUUGGCAUCACCGGCCGCUGCCAUAGCCAGGGAAGAGCUGGUUGAGAAUGGUCUGCAAGGGCUGGUUCACCCGGGUUGGGGAGCUGUGGUCCAGCUCAUAGCCACAGGCUGGGCAGCUGAACACCUGGGCCCGUAAGGACCUGUCCAGACAGUCCUUACAGACGUUGUGCUGACACACGGUGGUUACUGGCCGGAACACCAGCUCCUGGCAGCAGAUGCACUGGAAAGCCUCUUUCACCUUGCUCAGGAAGAUCUGGUACGGCCCAUCCUGAAGUGAAGUUAGCACAUCAUCCCACAGCUUGGCGUUGCCCUUGUCCUCUUUGAUGAGGUUAGCCUGCUGCUCUGAGAGUGUGUAUGGCUCCAGCUUGCUAUUCUUAGAGGCACGGGGGCUGGAGAGGGUUGGCCCUGUGGAUUUCUGUUUGCUUUUGCCUGUCUUGGAAGAUGAGGGUCCCUGCUCCAAGGCCUUGGCCGGGCGCUUCCUGCUCUUCUCCUUGUUAGCCAAGGCCUCCAAGUAGCCUUCAGGGUACUGCAUAGUGAGCCCCAGCUGUCGAGUGCGGUCCUUGCCCUUUCGGGUCCAGGGCUCAGGCUCUGUGUCAUCUCGUCGAAGGAGAUAAUGCCACAUGAGGAAGCCAGAUUUCCCUCUCUCUGGCCAGUACUUCACCACCUUGUAGAUGCCAUCAUAGCGGUUGCCCUCUGCGGGAGCGUACUUGCUGUGUUUCCCGCCCUUCAUGUUCCGGACCACACACACUGGCUUCCCUUGGCGCCAGUCUUCAGCCUCCGCACCUUUCUCAUUGAUUGGGGAGUGGCAAUUGAGUGCCAGAGCCCUAUUGUUAUUAGUGAGCUUCUGGUCAGAGGACUGGCCUGCUGUACGCUUGUUGCCAGAGAGGUCUCGGCCACCACUCCCUGUGUAUGUGAAGUAAUUGCCAUUGUCCACAUCAUUCUCAUAGCCACCAGCCAGGACCAAUGAGUAGGCACCGUCGUUGCUCCGGCCAUGGAUGCCUGCCACAUGAGGCCGAUGCACACCGGACUCACUGACCUGGACUCUGAAGUGCCACAUGGUGCCCACAGGGACACCAGGGAUGGGCCCAAAGUGGUUGGCGGGCACAAUGCUCCCCUGCUUGUACCACCUCACUUGAGUCAGUGCGGCAGCUGGGGCAGUACCACUCCGGCUCAGGGGGGACAGAGGUGAGCGGUGGCUUCAGGCAGUACAGGUGGAAGGCCAUGUCACAGUCA
rnacentral:lncRNA from 1 species